AUUGAACGCUGGCGGCAUGCCUUACACAUGCAAGUCGAACGGCAGCGGACCUUCGGGUGCCGGCGAGUGGCGAACGGGUGAGUAAUAUAUCGGAACGUACCUUUCAGUGGGGGAUAACGUAGCGAAAGUUACGCUAAUACCGCAUAUUCUGUGAGCAGGAAAGCAGGGGAUCGCAAGACCUUGCGCUGAUUGAGCGGCCGAUAUCAGAUUAGCUAGUUGGUGAGGUAAAGGCUCACCAAGGCGACGAUCUGUAGCGGGUCUGAGAGGAUGAUCCGCCACACUGGAACUGAGACACGGUCCAGACUCCUACGGGAGGCAGCAGUGGGGAAUUUUGCGCAAUGGGCGAAAGCCUGACGCAGCCAUACCGCGUGUGUGAAGAAGGCCUCGGUUGUAAGUCGACUUUCUACGUGGGGAGGGAAAGGACGUAGGUGGCGUAA
rnacentral:rRNA from 1 species